UAAAUAACACGAAUCAUAAACAAGUAGAUAUGCAUAGAUUGAUA
rnacentral:misc_RNA from 1 species